UACGAGGGGGGCGAGCGUUGUUCGGAAUUAUUGGGCGUAAAGGGUGCGUAGGCGGUUUUGUAAGUCUUAUGUGAAAUCUAUGGGCUCAACUCAUAGACUGCAUGAGAAACUGCAGGGCUUGAGUAUGGGAGAGGUGAGUGGAAUUCCUGGUGUAGCGGUGAAAUGCGUAGAUAUCUGGAGGAACACCGGUGGCGAAGGCGGCAUCCUGGACCAACACUGACACUGAGGAGCGAAAGCCAGGGGAGCAAACGGG
rnacentral:rRNA from 1 species